rnacentral:rRNA from 1 species
GACGAACGCUGGCGGCGUGCUUAACACAUGCAAGUCGAACGAUGAACCACUUCGGUGGGGAUUAGUGGCGAACGGGUGAGUAACACGUGGGCAAUCUGCCCUUCACUCUGGGACAAGCCCUGGAAACGGGGUCUAAUACCGGAUAACACUUCCACUCUCCUGAGUGGUGGUUAAAAGCUCCGGCGGUGAAGGAUGAGCCCGCGGCCUAUCAGCUUGUUGGUGAGGUAAUGGCUCACCAAGGCGACGACGGGUAGCCGGCCUGAGAGGGCGACCGGCCACACUGGGACUGAGACACGGCCCAGACUCCUACGGGAGGCAGCAGUGGGGAAUAUUGCACAAUGGGCGAAAGCCUGAUGCAGCGACGCCGCGUGAGGGAUGACGGCCUUCGGGUUGUAAACCUCUUUCAGCAGGGAAGAAGCGAAAGUGACGGUACCUGCAGAAGAAGCGCCGGCUAACUACGUGCCAGCAGCCGCGGUAAUACGUAGGGCGCAAGCGUUGUCCGGAAUUAUUGGGCGUAAAGAGCUCGUAGGCGGCUUGUCACGUCGGGUGUGAAAGCCCGGGGCUUAACCCCGGGUCUGCAUUCGAUACGGGCUAGCUAGAGUGUGGUAGGGGAGAUCGGAAUUCCUGGUGUAGCGGUGAAAUGCGCAGAUAUCAGGAGGAACACCGGUGGCGAAGGCGGAUCUCUGGGCCAUUACUGACGCUGAGGAGCGAAAGCGUGGGG